GCUAGAACAAACAUGAAUUAUUUGAACUUUUGAUUGAAACAGUCAGAUUUGCCUGUUUCAUUUAAAAGUUAAGACUGCCAAGUAAUGCUACUCUUUGACAACUUUUUGCCACUUUCCAAAAGAUGCUAUGGAACAAUUACAGGAAUGGUAUUCCAACAUUAGAAUUUUUCCUAUAAAUUGUAAUAGAUGAAAAUAAUAUUGGAGAAAGGAAAUCAGUGGACCAGGUGAAUCUGAGACCUGUGGACAUUCAUUUACUUGUUCAGAAGGUGUAAAAACAUUUGAGAUUAUGCAACUUUUAAGGAUUGAGUUUAGCCUAUUAUUGAUUUAUAUGAUAUGUGGCAUAUCCUAUGCGAACGAUGUCAUGAGAAGAAUAUGUGCUGUGAGAUGGUUGUCAUGGCAUAAUGAGUUUUCCGGUCAUUCGUUUUUGCGUACGUUCAGAUGGUUUCCAGCAAGAAGCAUCUUUAUCUGUCGAACUUAAAGUUCUCAAAUGCUCUUUACAUAUAUAUUUAUAUCUAUAUAUUUAUUUAUUUCUUUUUCUUUACUCUUGUUCAUACGGUGACAUUUUAUGAAGAGAUUCCGAUGGGGAAAAUCAAAUCAAGCCGUAUACUGGAAAAAUCAGCAACUCUCAAUCCAUUAGAUGACCGUCGGCUGCUUCGGUUUUGCCCGGCGUCGAUUUAUCAUGGUGACCAUAAUGGACAUUACUCUUACUGGACAUUUUCUGUUGAUUCACGAACUGUUAAGUUAAUCUGGGGCUUCUUCAUUCGGCUCCUGGUUGCGACUGGCAUCAGUGACUACAAUGUCUUCGUCCGGAUUCUCAGAAAGUUCUCCUGUCUGAGGUUCCUUAUUUGUCAUUAGACCAUCCAUUGUUAUACCCGGAUCACAGUGUAUGAACACAUCGCGUCCGGCUGCAGUGACCAGGGCGGGCUGAAAUUGGUGACAACACGUAUAUACCAGGAAUGGAGCUUAACGUUUUGCAUAGAUGAAGAACAGAAUAAGAAAGAAUCAAAACAAGAACUGCAUACAACUACAGCAAAAAGAUUGGAAAAACUUGCGUAAUGUACCAGGUCACCAAUAGGUGUCAGGGGUGUCUGGUGUCGCCACUUUUGUCGCCACUUGUGUCGGUGAAAGAAAACGCAUCCCUUUUUGGCCGAAAAUGCGACGGGCCUGUUCCGGUUUAUCGAUGAAGACUGUGUUGAGUUGGAAGUUGGAACUGAGUUACUCAUCUCCACAAGGAAAGUACACACGAAAACCAUUGAUACUUAACAUCCAUCACAUUGAAAAAUCCUCGAAUGAAUUUUACUUUAUUCCGUGCUAGUUGACAGUUGAUACCAGAGAUUUGGGAACAACAAAGGUUACUGUUACACUGUUAAGUUUAGGAAACUUUUCAGCCACUUCUCUGGGAAUGUCGAUAGAAAUGGUAUACAGUAAAAUCAUGUUAAUGAUGAAACAAGAGGGCAUAGCCUGGAAGAGCUGCAACUGCUGUAGCUCAGAUGUCAGCAGAUUUGUAAAUCGGCUGUAUCUGCUGUGGGAAAUAAGACUACUGAGGUUGCAUAGAUGUUACUGAGAUGAGCUUCAUCUAAAUGCUGGCAAAGCUUAUCUGUCAAAUAGAAACAGAAUAAACAGGAAUAGGUUGAAAUUGAGCCCGAAAUACCCACAUUGUGAUGAAUUAUUGCAUAUUAACAUGCAGAUAACUGUAACAAGUGUGACUCUUGUUGAGAAAAGGAUUGAAACAAUAGCGGACGAAAAGGAAACUGCUUUAAAACCGGUUUUGAAUGACACCAGCUAUUCCGAUGACGAUGUUUGGGAACCGAGCAUUUGAAAAGAAAAAACCCGUAUUCCAGUUACUAAGCCUUCACGACAUUCGACAAACAAAAAGGAAAAGGCUAAAGUAAGACAUCGUCCCUUUGCUGCUUUGGGGGACCACCGUCGCCAAAAGAGAAAUCACUUCAUCUAUAGAUUUGGUAGGUGAAAAGCCAAAUAGAUAAAUUUCUUGCACGGAGUAAGCAACAGAACCGUUCAUGGAAGCUGAUUUCGAUGAGACGCAAGUGCUGAUUCGUCUGAUGGUCGAUUAUGCCAACAUGGCAGCCAAGAAACAUGCCUUGCUCAAUCGGAUUGAAAUCGUGACAUCGGAAAAAGGAGUCUUCUUCUGGAAGAACUGUCCAGUCGCAACCAGUAUGUUGCCACGCUACUGCCUAUUCGCGCUGGAGCUUGCCGAACUUAAAGCUAUUGCGUAGCACUGAGCUAUUUAUUAGUUAUAGCUUUGGCAUUAUGAAGAGUGUUGUUCAUCUAUUUGUUCUUGUUUUUUUUUUUUUCCUGAAAUUGAAUAUUCACAAAAUUUUGUAUGUUUGUAAAUGGGUAAAAUCUAUUCAGAUUGGUAUCAUGAAGUAUGACUGUAGGAAAGGGUACAUAGGCUUCUAAAAGUGAAGAACAGCUCUGAUGUCUUUGGUAAGCGGAAAAUGAACUGCAUUUUGAAGCUUCAGAUGACGGUUUUAAGACUCUUUCGUUUGCUUUGCCCAAUGAAUCUGUACUUGGAACUGGCAGGUGGCGUUAUUCUUAAAACCCAGAGGUGUUUUUCAUUUUUCAGGGGGAUUGAUUGAUGAUUCUUGUUGGUUAGACCAUGAAGAAAACCAAUACAUGGAUAAGUGGAGGAUUAUAACAGCAAAAAACUGUAAUUCCUCAUGGCAUUUUCAUUCACGCAUGCGUGGUAGUUCGUGAGCAGACGAACCAUUGAAAGAACCUUGUGCAGUCUAGCUGCAUCCAGCCAGAUACCAGUAGAACCCGAAACAUUGUUUUGACAAGUACUGCCAUAUUUCGGUUGCAGGUUUUCACUAAAUACCAAGUAAGUUACGGGUUUAAUCAUGAUGAAUGUAUGAUUUUUCGAUUCAAAUCUAUUUAGGUGUCAGAACUGAAAUUGUACUUUUAAAACACUGCAUAACUUUUAUUAACAAUAGUUUACUUUUACAACUAUCAAAAUCUUGUUAACCACUUAAAGGAGAACAAAGCUAAUUUUUUUAGAUUUCCUGAAUUUCAACUUUCGCUUUUAAAGUGCCAAAUAACUCCUUAUUUGUUGGUCUGUCAGAAAAAAGAUUCACAUUUUCGUGAUCCUCAUCAAAUUUGGGGUCGAAUCCAUGGAUCAGCUCCACUCCAAAUACCCGAAAGUCGUCAAAAAUCGCAAAUUUUCCUGAACAUGUUCAUGAAAAAUCUCGACUUUUGGCUAAAAACACGUCAUUCCAAUCCCAAAUUUGAUAAGGAUCAUGGCAAUUCUACUCUCUUUGUUAUAGAAUCACUAUUUCCGGAGAUAUGGGCUACUUCCGGUUACUUCAGGGAAAUUUUCGUGACGAUAUGCAAAAAGUAAAAAAUGAGCUGUAUUAUUCUAACAAUUUCAAAUGUUUUUCUUGCAUGCGUUAGGGUGUUGCAACUUUUAUUCCGUGUUAUUCUUGCUAUCAAUAGUACAGACUUACCCUACGAUCAACGACAGUUUUCGCUACAACCGCCUCGUCUUGCAACUAGUAGUUGAUAUUCUAGGUUUAAUGUUUAAAAUUGGAAUCAACUGUCUAAGGCGGAAAAACUAGAUGGCGUUGACGUUCGUGUAUGAUAAAUAUUACGAGUGACAAGUCAAAUGGGUGUUUGUUACGUUUCUACCCUGUUUAGUGUUUCAAAGGAUUUUUCGUCAAAAAUUUAGCGAGUUUCGCCUUGUCAGCUGCUGAACCAGUAGCCUGCAUUCCUGCUAUCAAUGUACCACAAGGGAUGCUGACACUUAAAAAAUACAAACAGUGACCACUAUACCCGAGACAUGAACAUCACCAUCCUGUUAAGAGUCUUCGUCUACUAUGUGUUAUGAACCAUCUGUCCUUAGCAUCCAAUGUUUCCAGAUUUUAAAGCUUCUCUGCUUAGCCAACCAUUCUCCAUACACUUCAGCUCUUCAUUGUGGCUUCUCUUCCUCUCUUCUUAGCCUGAUGAAUGCCAACAGGCAUAAAGGUUCAUCUCCAUUGCCUUACCAUGGAAUGGAACUUAUCGUUGUUAAUCCUGCUGCCAAAUCGUCUUCCCGUACGAGUCAUGCAGUUUUAGAUUCCUUAUGGAAUUUCCUUGCAACAUCCACCCAGGCUGAAAAGGGCAUCCUACCAGUUGUUUGGACCAUACCUGCCUCUCCUCGCCGUCUUCGCCCCGCCUUCCUCGCUCAACCGUCUUCGCUUUGCCUUCUUCAAGUUGAUCGUCUUUGCCUCGCCGUCUUCGACUCAUCGUCAUUGCCGCAUCGUUUUUGCUCCCGCCCGGCUUCUCCUCAUCGCCGUCAUCGUGGAACCUCGCGUUUUUGGUAGUUUGUUUUGUUUUGUAUUGUUGUAUGACUAUGUUUAAAGUUAACCCGUUGGCUGCCACCCAUUUUGCUCCCCUUUUUUUUUUAGUUGUAGGGACCGGCGGCGCUGUUCUGCCCCAUGGUUGAUCACCCAUGGGGUGGGACAGUCGCCUUGCGCCUUAGGGCGCCGUAGGCAAUGCACCAGUAGGGACUUCCCUUUGUCGAUGCGAUGAUGGAGUACCUGGGGUGUGCAUUCCCGUAAAGGUCUCCAUCGUCAAGUCAGCCCGGACUUGUCUUCGGACAAGUCCCCCUUUCAUCGGAUCCCUCUGAAACGAUGCGUAGUUAUUGUAGAAGAACAACCUAUGGGUUGUAAUGGCUUGGCAGCCAACGGGUUAACUUAAGUGUUUAUUUUUGUAUGCAUGUAUGUAUUGUAUUUAUUGUAUAACAUGUGAUGUAAAACUGUGGUGGAAUUGUGGGUGGAGGUGGGAUAAUACAUAACCAAUUCCAUUUA
rnacentral:misc_RNA from 1 species